GAAGAUUAGCAAUGUUGAGCAUCUCUUCAUGUGUCUGCUGGCCAUGUGGAUGUCUUCGCUGAAUACAUGUCUGUACAUGUCUUCUGUCCAUUUCUUGACUGGAGUAUUU